AACGAACGCUGGCGGCAUGCCUAACACAUGCAAGUCGAACGAGAUCUUCGGGUCUAGUGGCGCACGGGUGCGUAACGCGUGGGAAUCUGCCUUUGGUUCGGAAUAACAGUUGGAAACGACUGCUAAUACCGGAUGAUGACGAAAGUCCAAAGAUUUAUCGCCAGAGGAUGAGCCCGCGUAGGAUUAGCUAGUUGGUGUGGUAAAGGCGCACCAAGGCGACGAUCCUUAGCUGGUCUGAGAGGAUGAUCAGCCACACUGGGACUGAGACACGGCCCAGACUCCUACGGGAGGCAGCAGUGGGGAAUAUUGGACAAUGGGCGAAAGCCUGAUCCAGCAAUGCCGCGUGAGUGAUGAAGGCCUUAGGGUUGUAAAGCUCUUUUACCCGGGAUGAUAAUGACAGUACCGGGAGGAUAAGCUCCGGCUAACUCCGUGCCAGCAGCCGCAGUAA
rnacentral:rRNA from 1 species